GAGAGAGAGAAGUAGAGAAAUCUGUACCAGGUGCGGUGGCCAUGGUGGUGCGGAGCCAUGGUGAUGUGGUGGUGGUGCAGGUGCGGUGGCCAUGGUGGUGCGGAGCCAUGGUGAUGUGGUGGUGGUGGAGGUGGGGUGAUGAUGGUGGUGUGCUUGAAAAGUUGGGGCUGUUAUAAGCUUUAGUUGUGAGAGUUCAUUGUAAUCAAUUUCUUUCAAUUCUUCGUUAUAAAACAAUCUGUGAUGACUAGUGAACAAAGAUGGAAUCAUUUGAGUUGGUGUGCUUGA
rnacentral:lncRNA from 1 species